AUUGAACGCUGGCGGCGGGCUUUACACAUGCAAGUCGAACGAGUGGCGGACGGGUGAGUAACGUAUGGGAACAUGCCUAGUGGUGGGGGAUAACUAACGGAAAGGACAGCUAAUACCGCAUACUCUCGGAUGUGCCAAUGUGUGAUUAGCUGGUUGGCGGGGUAAAGGACCACCUAGGCGACGAUCCGUAGCUGGUCUGAGAGGAUGACCAGCCACACUGGAACUGAGACACGGUCCAGACUCCUACGGGAGGCAGCAGUGGGGAAUUUUGCACAAUGGGCGCAAGCCUGAUGCAGCCAUGCCGCGUGUAUGAAGAAGGCCUUCGGGUUGUAAAGUACUUUUGGCAGGGAAGCGUUACCCGCAGAAGAAGCACCGGCUAACUCCGUGCCAACAGCCGCGGUAAUUC
rnacentral:rRNA from 1 species